rnacentral:rRNA from 1 species
CGAGUCAUUGUAGUAAUACAAGGCAGACGGCUCAGUAACGCGUACUCUACCUAACCUAUGGACGGGAAUAACCUCGGGAAACUGAGCAUAAUGCCCGAUAGAACAUUAUGCCUGGAAUGGUUUAUGUUCCAAAUGAUUUAUCGCCGUAGGACGGGACUGCGGCCUAUCAGUUUGUUGGUGAGGUAAUGGCCCACCAAGACUAUUACAGGUACGGGCUCUGAGAGGAGUAGCCCGGAGAUGGGUACUGAGACACGGACCCAGGCCCUAUGGGGCGCAGCAGGCGAGAAAACUUUGCAAUGUGCGAAAGCACGACAAGGUUAAUCCGAGUGGUUUCUGCUAAAGGAACCUUUUGUCGGUCCUAGAAACACCGAUGAAUAAGGGGUGGGCAAGUUCUGGUGUCAGCCGCCGCGGUAAAACCAGCACCUCAAGUGGUCAGGAUGAUUAUUGGGCCUAAAGCAUCCGUAGCCGGCUUUGUUAGUUUUCGGUUAAAUCUGUACGCUCAACGUACAGGCUGCCGGGAAUACUGCAGAGCUAGGGAGUGGGAAAGGUAGACGGUACUCGGUAGGAAGGGG